UACGUAGGGGGCGAGCGUUGUCCGGAAUCAUUGGGCGUAAAGCGCGUGUAGGCGGCUCGAUAAGUCUGCUGUGAAAGUCCAGGGCUCAACCCUGGAAUGCCGGUGGAAACUGUUGAGCUUGAGUCCGGAAGAGGCGAGUGGAAUUCCUGGUGUAGCGGUGAAAUGCGCAGAUAUCAGGAGGAACACCGAUGGCGAAGGCAGCUCGCUGGGACGGUACUGACGCUGAGACGCGAAAGCGUGGGGAGCAAACAGG
rnacentral:rRNA from 1 species